UUGAACUCAUCAUACUCGCGCUUAACUCGUCUACGGUCCUUCACAAAAUCUGACUUUACUUUGUUCUUGUAAGGAUCCCUCUUCAAAUUGAAGUAAGAUUCUGGAUUUCUGGGCUCAAUAUCAUGUUUCCGACAAAAUGGAACCCAUAUAUUAGCAAAGCUUGCAGCUUCUGCCAUGGCCUCAAAAGUUAAAAGUGCACCUCCAUCAUCAGAAACAUAACAAGCUAGCUUCUCUACUGGGUAAUCAGCAGCCAAAAUUGACAAGAUAGUGUUGGCAGUAACAAGAGGUGGUUCUUUCUCUGGAUCAGCAGUAGAGACAUAGACAUCAAUGCCUGGAAGGUCAGAUUUUCCAGUGGGGUUGUUGGGGGUAGGUGUUUCAAAUUUGUCCUUCAAGACGUUAAGAUCUGUCACACGGUUGAUUGGGCAGAGCUUGGGGAGUUGGUCAAGAAGCCAGGAAAAAGCGAACCAGAUUUCACAAACCACAGACAUCCCCC
rnacentral:lncRNA from 1 species